ACAAUAUAACUUUUUAUUUUAAUACACUUAAAAACAUCAAACUGUGGAGCCCAUAAAAGAAAAUGGCCUAUGAUUUUUUUAAUAAAAUAAGUUUCUUGUGCACACCAGCAACUAACCUGCGCUCACAAGAAAAUGUCUUCUGUUCUUGAGAAAGUUUAUCAUGUGUGCACACACGAGCAAGUGCUCAUAUGAAACUUUAGGCUCUGGCUUACAGAGAUGGCAAAAUAGCUUCUGGCUCGUCCUCUGAGACGGGAUGGCUGAAACUUUCUGGUGCACACACAGUACUUUCUAGUGGUCAUGAGAAACUUUGUCGUGCGCAAGCAAAACGUUCUCAUAAGAAUGACAAACGUUCUCUUGCUCACAGAAUUGUUUCAGUGUGUGUGAAUAUAGUUUUCCAUGCACAUCUCAUUUAAAAUGUUAUUUCUGCCCAUUAUCCUUUAGGGGCUCCGUAUCAAACAGGAAUUUAGUGAAUUAAUAUAACAACUAAACUGAGAAAAAUAAAAUGUAAAGAAGAGAAAACAAGUCCAAAGGCAGAGGCUCGUCCAGCUUUGCUGCUUUUAUUGUUCUCAGGAGUUAUCAAGUUUAGAGUUUGUUUUCUGAAUUAUACACAAGAUCAUAAAGUGAUUCUGCUACUGUCACUGAGUGUUAUUGUCCUUUAUGGGUAGUGAAAAAAAUUCUCAAUGAAGCAUGGUACACAUAUUUUUUUAUUAUUCAUCAUGAAGCCAAAAAUAAACCCCUGCAAACCCUUCUUUAAGUAGCUUUAGGUUUAAAAAA